AACGAACGCUGGCGGCGUGGAUAAGACAUGCAAGUCGAGCGCGACAUACAGGGUAGCAAUACAUUGUAUGUUGAGCGGCGAAAGGGUGCGUAACACGUGGGCAAUUUGCCAUAAUGUUGGGGAUAACUCGCUGAAAGGCGAGCUAAUACCGAAUGUGAUCAUCUGGAGGCAUCAUUGGAUGAUUAAAGUUGGGGACCGUAAGGCCUGACGCAUUAUGAUGAGCCCGCGGCCUAUCAGCUAGUUGGUGAGGUAACGGCUCACCAAGGCUAAGACGGGUAGCUGGUCUGAGAGGACGACCAGCCUCACUGGAACUGAGACACGGUCCAGACACCUACGGGUGGCAGCAGUCGAGAAUUUUUCUCAAUGGGGGAAACCCUGAAGGAGCGACGCCGCGUGGGGGAUGAAUGGCUUCGGCCCGUAAACCCCUGUCAUUUGCGAACAAAACUUACAUUUUAACAAAGUGUGAAUUGAUUGUAGCGAAAGAGGAAGGGACGGCUAACUCUGUGCCAGCAGCCGCAGUAACAC
rnacentral:rRNA from 1 species